GAUGAACGCUGGCGGCGUGCCUAAUACAUGCAAGUCGAGCGAACAGAUAAGGAGCUUGCUCCUUUGACGUUAGCGGCGGACGGGUGAGUAACACGUGGGUAACCUACCUAUAAGACUGGGAUAACUUCGGGAAACCGGAGCUAAUACCGGAUAACAUUUGGAACCGCAUGGUUCUAAAGUGAAAGACGGUUUUGCUAUCACUUAUAGAUGGACCCGCGCCGUAUUAGCUAGUUGGUAAGGUAACGGCUUACCAAGGCGACGAUACGUAGCCGACCUGAGAGGGUGAUCGGCCACACUGGAACUGAGACACGGUCCAGACUCCUACGGGAGGCAGCAGUAGGGAAUCUUCCGCAAUGGGCGAAAGCCUGACGGAGCAACGCCGCGUGAGUGAUGAAGGGUUUCGGCUCGUAAAACUCUGUUAUUAGGGAAGAACAAAUGUGUAAGUAACUGUGCACGUCUUGACGGUACCUAAUCAGAAAGCCACGGCUAACUACGUG
rnacentral:rRNA from 1 species